GGUUAAGCGACUAAGCGUACACGGUGGAUGCCCUGGCAGUCAGAGGCGAUGAAGGACGUGCUAAUCUGCGAAAAGCGUCGGUAAGGUGAUAUGAACCGUUAUAACCGGCGAUGUCCGAAUGGGGAAACCCAGUGCAAUUCGUUGCACUAUCGUUAACUGAAUACAUAGGUUAACGAGGCGAACCGGGGGAACUGAAACAUCUAAGUACCCCGAGGAAAAGAAAUCAACCGAGAUUCCCCCAGUAGCGGCGAGCGAACGGGGAGCAGCCCAGAGUCUGAAUCAGCUUGUGUGUUAGUGGAACGGUCUGGAAAGUCCGACGGUACAGGGUGAUAGUCCCGUACACCAAAAUGCACAGGUUGUGAACUCGAAGAGUAGGGCGGGACACGUGGUAUCCUGUCUGAAUAUGGGGGGACCAUCCUCCAAGGCUAAAUACUCCUGACUGACCGAUAGUGAACCAGUACCGUGAGGGAAAGGCGAAAAGAACCCCGGCGAGGGGAGUGAAAAAGAACCUGAAACCGUGUACGUACAAGCAGUGGGAGCACCUUCGGGUGUGACUGCGUACCUUUUGUAUAAUGGGUCAGCGACUUAUAUUCUGUAGCAAGGUUAACCGUAUAGGGGAGCCGCAGGGAAACCGAGUCUUAACUGGGCGUUAAGUUGCAGGGUAUAGACCCGAAACCCGGUGAUCUAGCCAUGGGCAGGUUGAAGGUUGGGUAACACUAACUGGAGGACCGAACCGACUAAUGUUGAAAAAUUAGCGGAUGACUUGUGGCUGGGGGUGAAAGGCCAAUCAAACCGGGAGAUAGCUGGUUCUCCCCGAAAGCUAUUUAGGUAGCGCCUCGUGAACUCAUCUUCGGGGGUAGAGCACUGUUUCGGCUAGGGGGUCAUCCCGACUUACCAACCCGAUGCAAACUACGAAUACCGAAGAAUGUUAUCACGGGAGACACACGGCGGGUGCUAACGUCCGUCGUGAAGAGGGAAACAACCCAGACCGCCAGCUAAGGUCCCAAAGUCAUGGUUAAGUGGGAAACGAUGUGGGAAGGCACAGACAGCCAGGAUGUUGGCUUAGAAGCAGCCAUCAUUUAAAGAAAGCGUAAUAGCUCACUGGUCGAGUCGGCCUGCGCGGAAGAUGUAACGGGGCUAAACCAUGCACCGAAGCUGCGGCAGCGACACUAUGUGUUGUUGGGUAGGGGAGCGUUCUGUAAGCCUGCGAAGGUGGCCUGUGAGGGUUGCUGGAGGUAUCAGAAGUGCGAAUGCUGACAUAAGUAACGAUAAAGCGGGUGAAAAGCCCGCUCGCCGGAAGACCAAGGGUUCCUGUCCAACGUUAAUCGGGGCAGGGUGAGUCGACCCCUAAGGCGAGGCCGAAAGGCGUAGUCGAUGGGAAACAGGUUAAUAUUCCUGUACUUGGUGUUACUGCGAAGGGGGGACGGAGAAGGCUAUGUUAGCCGGGCGACGGUUGUCCCGGUUUAAGCAUGUAGGCUGGUUAUCCAGGCAAAUCCGGAUAAUCAAGGCUGAGGUGUGAUGACGAGGCACUACGGUGCUGAAGUAACAAAUGCCCUGCUUCCAGGAAAAGCCUCUAAGCAUCAGGUAACAUUAAAUCGUACCCCAAACCGACACAGGUGGUCAGGUAGAGAAUACCAAGGCGCUUGAGAGAACUCGGGUGAAGGAACUAGGCAAAAUGGUGCCGUAACUUCGGGAGAAGGCACGCUGGUGUGUAGGUGAAGCCCCUGCGGGUGGAGCUGAGACCAGUCGAAGAUACCAGCUGGCUGCAACUGUUUAUUAAAAACACAGCACUGUGCAAACACGAAAGUGGACGUAUACGGUGUGACGCCUGCCCGGUGCCGGAAGGUUAAUUGAUGGGGUUAUCCGUAAGGAGAAGCUCUUGAUCGAAGCCCCGGUAAACGGCGGCCGUAACUAUAACGGUCCUAAGGUAGCGAAAUUCCUUGUCGGGUAAGUUCCGACCUGCACGAAUGGCGUAAUGAUGGCCAGGCUGUCUCCACCCGAGACUCAGUGAAAUUGAACUCGCUGUGAAGAUGCAGUGUACCCGCGGCAAGACGGAAAGACCCCGUGAACCUUUACUAUAGCUUGACACUGAACAUUGAGCCUUGAUGUGUAGGAUAGGUGGGAGGCUUUGAAGCGUGGACGCCAGUCUGCGUGGAGCCAACCUUGAAAUACCACCCUUUAAUGUUUGAUGUUCUAACGUUGGCCCCUUACCGGGGUUGCGGACAGUGUCUGGUGGGUAGUUUGACUGGGGCGGUCUCCUCCCAAAGCGUAACGGAGGAGCACGAAGGUUAGCUAAUCCUGGUCGGACAUCAGGAGGUUAGUGCAAUGGCAUAAGCUAGCUUGACUGCGAGCGUGACGGCGCGAGCAGGUGCGAAAGCAGGUCAUAGUGAUCCGGUGGUUCUGAAUGGAAGGGCCAUCGCUCAACGGAUAAAAGGUACUCCGGGGAUAACAGGCUGAUACCGCCCAAGAGUUCAUAUCGACGGCGGUGUUUGGCACCUCGAUGUCGGCUCAUCACAUCCUGGGGCUGAAGUAGGUCCCAAGGGUAUGGCUGUUCGCCAUUUAAAGUGGUACGCGAGCUGGGUUUAGAACGUCGUGAGACAGUUCGGUCCCUAUCUGCCGUGGGCGCUGGAGAAUUGAGGGGGGCUGCUCCUAGUACGAGAGGACCGGAGUGGACGCAUCACUGGUGUUCGGGUUGUCAUGCCAAUGGCACUGCCCGGUAGCUAAAUGCGGAAGAGAUAAGUGCUGAAAGCAUCUAAGCACGAAACUUGCCCCGAGAUGAGUUCUCCCUGAGACUUUAAGUCUCCUGAAGGAACGUUGAAGACGACGACGUUGAUAGGCCGGGUGUGUAAGCGCAGCGAUGCGUUGAGCUAACCGGUACUAAUGAACCGUGAGGCUUAACCUU
rnacentral:rRNA from 1 species